ACCCAAAAGAUAAGAAUGAUGUUCUUAGCUUGUCAUGGAUGAAUUUAGCUAUGGAGUCGCUUUGUGGAACUCAUAAUGACAUAAAAACUCUUAUAGCUGAGAUGGAUCUUCCUGUGAGUGCCUGGGAUGAGAAGUGGAUUGACGUGUACUUGGACAUCAGUGUAAAGUUGCUUGAUAUAUGCAUUGUCUUCAGCUCUGAGAUCUCGCGCUUAAACCAGGGACAUCUUUUCCUUCAGUUUGUGUUGCAUAAUUUGAAAUCAGCCUCUUCACAGCAAUUUAUUCGUGCCCGUU
rnacentral:lncRNA from 1 species